rnacentral:rRNA from 1 species
UACGAAGGGGGCUAGCGUUGCUCGGAAUCACUGGGCGUAAAGGGUGCGUAGGCGGGUCUUUAAGUCAGGGGUGAAAUCCUGGAGCUCAACUCCAGAACUGCCUUUGAUACUGAGGAUCUUGAGUUCGGGAGAGGUGAGUGGAACUGCGAGUGUAGAGGUGAAAUUCGUAGAUAUUCGGAAGAACACCAGUGGCGAAGGCGGCUCACUGGCCCGUUACUGACGCUCAGGCGCGACAGCGUGGGGAGCAAACAGG